GACUGCGUCCAAGAAGCAUUGCAAUUCAUAACAAUCAGCUUGACUGUUUAUGACUAAAAAUAUUUUCAGGUCGUCCGCGUACAGGAGAACUCCACAUCCAAUCAGCACCAAGUUGAUGUCGUUACAAAAGAGCGUAAACAAUAAAGGACCCAGAUUGCUGCCUUGGGGUACCCCAGACUUCGGAAUAAAGUCCGAGGAUUCAGCAGAACCUAUUUUUACAGCCAAUCGCCGAUCCGUUAGUACAAUGCCAUGGUUUACAGAAUCAAAUGCCGCUGAAAUAUCGGUAAAAAUCGCGUCAAUUUGCUUGCCGCCAUCCAUGUUUGACAUGCAUUAGGCUAUAAAAACCAUCAGUUACCGAAUAUUUAGGAAAAAUCCAUGCUGGUUCUCAAAAAUCCAGUUCCGGCAGGCCGAAAACAUGACAUCGUUGACUAUCCUCUCAAAUACCUUCGAGCAGGCAGCUAGCGAUGUGACACCUCGAUGGUUGGAAAUUUUUGCUGCUCUAGAGACUGAUUAAAAUGCGCGUAAGAGGCUCCACCAGUAAAGUGCGACACUUUUUCAAUACACACGCCGGUAUUCCAUCCUGCCCGGCUGAAGUGGAGUUCUUCAAAAUAAUUAUGGCCUCUAAAACCAUUUCCUCGCUAACGGUGAAAACAUCCAGAUCCAACACAUCGAUGGGUAAUCGUGAUAAGGCGGAGUUUAAUUGCUCGGCAGUUGGCGAUGCGUCUGAAAAAACACUGGCGAAGUAAAAAGAUAGCAUUUUUCAGAAGGUGACAUAGCAAUACGGUUGUUUUAUCGAAGUAUAGCUGGAAGCCCGGACGCUUUCCGUUUGGAGUCCACAAAUUUCCAGAACUUUUUUGGAUUGCGACGAAGCUCACUCUGGGUACGAUCCACAUAACGGCGAUAACAAAGUCGAUUGUAUAUCCGGUACCGAUUAGUAGCAGCGUUCAAUUUGAUUUUCACGAAUGAGCACCUGGAGUUACUAAACUUCCGUAGCAAUCUCUAACGCGUUUGUUUCAACUAAUUCAAGUGAAAAUCAGACCAAGGGGGUCGAAGAGGAGGUCGCACCAGGAGUACGGACGGACUCAUCGAAAACGCCAUCCAAAAUUGCGCCAAAUGUACUAACAGCCACAUCUACGUCAGUACAACUUUGUAUGUCCGACCAGUCAACUUCAGACAGAACACGGUUCAUGGUGUCAAAAUCCGCACGCUUAAAGUCACGAGCUGACACAUCGAAAUCCUCGACAAAAACGAUAGGACACGGAAAUGAAAUUUCAAAUUCCAACGGAGGGUGGUACACGUCUUUAGAGACAACGAUGUCGCUGGCCUCGAUUGUGGGGCUGAUCAAAAUAGAUUUAUCCGAGAAAACCAAAUCCAGCGUUCGAUUUUGAAAAUUUUGUAAAUGAAAUAGUAUCUUAAAAUA